rnacentral:lncRNA from 1 species
GAAGAUCCCACAGCAGCUUCCGAAGGCCUGGAUGUGAUGGCAUCACAGAAGAGACCCUCACAGCGACACGGAUCCAAGUACUUGGCCACAGCAAGUACCAUGGACCAUGCCCGGCAUGGCUUCCUCCCAAGGCACAGAGACACGGGCAUCCUUGACUCCAUCGGGCGCUUCUUUAGCGGUGACAGGGGUGCGCCCAAGCGGGGCUCUGGCAAGGACUCACACACAAGAACUACCCACUACGGCUCCCUGCCCCAGAAGUCGCAGAGGACCCAAGAUGAAAACCCAGUAGUCCACUUCUUCAAGAACAUUGUGACACCUCGUACACCCCCUCCAUCCCAAGGAAAGGGGAGAGGCCUGUCCCUCAGCAGAUUUAGCUGGGUAGGUGAUGACUGCGUUUC